ACGUGAGAAGAGUUAUUCCUGGAAGCAAAGUCAAUGAGAUUACUGGACCCUAUCCUGACAGUGGCUGUACUCACGUCACUGAGUGAUGACUGUUUAACAUAGCUUUUCUUGCCUUAAACCACAUUCCUUCCAUUCACUGCUCGUUGAUGUAACUUUUAGCAGAAGACAAAGUGUCUUAUGUUUACCUAAUUUCUCUCACUUUCUGGAACUCUUUUCUGAAAACCUUCUGGAUUUUAGACAUGUGGCUUAUAACCCAGGGUAUUUCUCAAAACAAUGCACUGUUUCUUUAAAAUAUGUAUUUCUGGGGCAGUGGUGGCACACACCUUUAAUCCCAGCACUUGGGAGGCAGAGGAAGGUGGAUUUCUGAGUUUGAGGCCAGCCUGAUCUACAGAGUGAGUUCCAGGACAGUCAGGGCUACAGAGAGAAACCCUGUCUCGAAAAAACAAAAACAACCCUCCCCCCAAAAAACCCGCAAAAAACAAAAAACAAAAACCAAAAAAUAAAAUAUAUAUUUCUUUAAAGCAUGGUCAGUGUGUGAUGGCUACUAUAUGAUGGCCACUGUGUGAUGGUCAUUGUGUGGUAGCCAUUGUGAUGGUCAAAGUGUUAAUGACACCCUUUUAUGGCUAUGGUGUGAUGGCCAUUUUGAGAUGCUCAUAGUGUAACUGCCUACUUUAUAGUGGUCACUGUGUGAUGGACACUAUGUGAUUGUCACUGUAUGAUGGUCAAGUUGUGAUGGCCACAAUUUGAGGGACAAUGAGUAAGGGACACUAUGUGAUAGCCACUGAAUAAUGGCCUCCAAAUGAUGGCCACAGUAUGAUCACUACAAAAGGAUGGUCAUGGUCUUUAAAGCAUGUAUAUACCUUAAAGUCGUCAAUCAGAUCAAUCAGUGAACAGUCAUCUUUGUACAGCAAAUAGCAGGUAAGACAAAGAAGAUGCAAGGUCCAUCUAUUAGGCAUGGAGAGAAAUUAGCUCUCUACAAGGCUGCAGGAUGUGCACCUAAAAAGAAAAGUCAGUCCAUCCUUGUAAGUGGUAUGAUCUUGUAAUUCCACAAAAGCAAACAAACGAACAAACAAACAAAAACAUAAAAGCAAAUUUCAGGAGAGAAGUUGAGAUUCAAUUAAAAUAUUUCUAUCAUCAUUGUGUAGGAUGAAACUUUUGAAUCCAAGGCUAUCCUCAUCACUUUCUGUCCUUCCACACAAAAUACUUAAAUUUAAUUUUCUUUACUUGGUAAUAACUGAGUUUUUGAGGGUCCUUUAAAUAUAUGAUGACUAGUGAUCCAAGAAUAGGAGGGAAAUUUCAGAGUAUAAUAAGUACUGUUGCUUGACAUUGUAGGGAGUGAACUGUCUUGCUUAAACUAUCUUAUCAUUAGCCUGGGAUGGUGGCACAUCUGUGAUCCCAGCACUUGGGAGCUAAGGCAGAAGGAUCAGGAGUUUGGAGCCAGCCUGAGCUAUAUGGGGAGUGUCGGGUCAUCUUGGGUUUGAUUAGCUCAGAAAUAAAGC
rnacentral:lncRNA from 1 species